rnacentral:rRNA from 1 species
AUGCCGUUCGGCCUCUGCAACGCGCCGGCAACGUUCCAGGCCCUCAUGAACGAUCUGCUGCGGCCGUACCUGCGCCGUUUUGUUCUCGUCUUCUUUGACGACAUCCUCAUUUUCAGCGAGACAUGGGCUGACCAUCUCCGACAUGUGCGCACCGUCUUCACCGUCCUGCACCAGCACCGGCUCUUCGUCAAGCGAUCCAAAUGUGCAUUCGCCGUCGAGUCGAUCUCAUACCUGGGUCACACCAUCUCCGCUGCAGGAGUGGCCAUGGAUCCGGAAAAGGUGCAGGCAGUGGCCGAAUGGCCGCAACCACGCUCGGCGCGCGCGGUUCGGGGGUUUCUCGGCCUUGCGGGGUACUACCGCAAGUUUGUCAAGGAGUUUGGCGUGGUUGCCGCGCCACUAACGGCCCUCCUUCGCAAGGAUGGUUUCUCCUGGUCGCCGGAGGCGGCAGCAGCUUUUCACGCCCUCAAGACGACAGUCACCACGGCUCCCGUCCUCGUGUUACCGGAUUUCACGCGGCCGUUCAUCAUCGAGUGUGACGCCUCGACAUACGGCUUCGGGGCCGUCCUUCUUCAGGACCAACACCCGGUGGCUUUCUUUAGCCGGCCAGCCGCGCCACGUCACCGUUCCCUGGCAGCAUAUGAACGGGAACUCAUCGGCCUGGUGCUCGCGAUUCGUCACUGGAGACCGUACCUCUGGGGGCGCCAAUUUGUGGUAAAAACGGAUCACUACAGUCUCAAAUUUCUACUUGACCAGCGUUUGGCAACCAUCCCGCAGCAUCAUUGGGUCGGCAAACUACUGGGGUUCGACUUUACCGUGGAGUACAAGGCCGGUAGUACAAACACGGUGGCGGAUGCCCUUUCCCGCCGUGACACGAAGGAGACGUCGAUCAUGGCGAUCUCGGGUCCUCGCUUCGACUUCAUCGAUCGCCUCCGGCAAGCGACGUCCACAGAUCCGGCGCUCGUCACGCUGCGUGAGGAUAUCACGGUGGGUACGCGGCAGCAGUCGUGGGCUCUCUCCGACGGCCUCGUCACUUUCAAUGGCCGCCUCUACAUUCCGCCGUCGUCCCCGCUACUCCAGGAGAUUCUCAGUGCCGUGCACGAUGAUGGGCAUGAAGGCGUCCUGCGCACCUUGCAUCGUCUCCGCCGUGACUUCCACGCACCUAACCUUCGCAAGACGGUGCAAGAGUACAUCCGCACUUGCAGUACUUGCCAGAGGUACAAGUCCGAGCACUUGCACCCCGCUGGGCUGUUGCUGCCGCUGCCGGUGCCCACGGGCGUGUGGACUGACGUCGGCAUCGACUUCGUGGAAGCGCUCCCUCGCAUGGGCGGGAAGUCUGUCAUCCUCACCGUGGUGGAUCGCUUCAGCAAGUAUUGCCACUUUGUGGCGCUGGCCCACCCGUACACGGCAGAAUCAGUGGCGCAGGUGUUCUUCGCUGAGAUUGUUCGUCUCCAUGGUGUGCCGCAGUUCAUGGUCUCUGACCGCGACCCCGUCUUCACCUCGGCUUUUUGGCGGGAGCUCAUGCGCCUCACCGGGACAAAGCUGCACAUGACGUCAGCGUUUCAUCCACAGUCGGAUAGCCAAACGGAGGCUGCUAACAAGAUCAUUGUGAUGUACCUACGUUGUCUCACCGGGGAUCGUCCCAGGCAGUGGCUCCGGUGGCUUCCCUGGGCCGAGUACAUCUACAACACCGCCUACCAGACAGCGACCCAAGAAACUCCGUUCAGGCUUGUGUAUGGCCGUGACCCUCCCACUAUUCGCUCUUACGAGCCGGGCGACACGAGGGUAGCCGCAGUGGCCAGGAGCAUGGCGGAGCACGACGAGCUUCUCGAGGACGUCCGCUAUCGUCUACAACAGGCACCGGCGGUCUACAAGUCCUACUAUGACAGACGCCAUCGGGACAUUCGGCAUGACGUGGGCGAUUGGGUCUGGCUUCGCCUUCGCCAGCGCGCCGCGUCCUCUCUCAACUUGCCAACCAGGGGCAAGCUCAAGCCACGCUUCUAUGGGCCGUACCGCAUUUCAGAGGUCGUCAACGACGUGGCUUACCGCCUUGAGCUUCCGGCACGCUCGCGCCUCCAUGACGUGUUCCACGUGGGCCUCCUCAAGAAGUUCUUCGGCACGCCUCCAACUGCACCGCCGGGUUUGCCUCCGAUCCACAACGGAGCGGCUGUUCCAGAACCGGAGCGUGUGACUCGUGCGCGCCUAGCACGCGGCGUUCGCCAGCUACUCGUCCACUGGAAGGGUGAAGCAGCAUCAUCAGCUACAUGGGAGGAUCUUGACAGUUUCGUCGAGCGCUACCCCGCUUUUCAGCUCGAGGACGAGCUGCUCGUUGAGGGGGGGAGAGAUGUCAUGUGGGGCACGUCCUACAGGCGUGGGCCACGCGGCCAGGAGCAGCAGCCGUCGGCCGCAUCAGGCGAGGCGUAG